CCAAGAUGACGUGGCACAUCGCCACUUUCUUCCAGCCUUGGAUUUACUGUUGUGCGCAAAUAAAUAAAUGACAAAAAGCCCAAAAAAUAUUUCAUACAUUUUAAUAGGUAAACAAAUAUAUUUUAAUACUGACAAAGUUACUAUAAAGCAGCUUUAACAAGCGAGUCCUGGACACGGUUUAGGUUAAAAAAAAAAAAAAAAAAGUUGCAGAAAACAAACCCAAUGUGAACUAGUCCCCAGGACCCAUCCAGAUCCCCUAUUACCCAUGAACCCGAGGGGCAGCGGCGGUCUGCUCAUCAUCUCGAGCUAUGCCCAAUCACCUCGCAGCUCAUGGACUCACCCUUGCACCAUAUAUCCGCCCACGGGUCCUCCUCGCUGUGGCUCUCGUUUAAUAGGUCAUCUACUGGGGACUUGUCCCAAGACUGAUGGUGCGCCUUGAAAGACCAGGACAAAAAGGUAAAUUAUCUUCUAGGGCAGGGGUAGGCAACUUCCGGCACUCCAGCUGUUGUGAAACUACAACUCCCAGCAUGCGAACUUGCUCUGCUCUUCUAAGAACUCACAUAGAAAUGAAUGGAGCAUGCUGGGAAUUGUAGUUUCACAACAGCUGGAGUGCCGGAGGUUGCGGACCUCUGUUCUAGGGGAACUGUAAAAUAGAGGAGAAAUACAGUUGACGAGACUGGACACAGGACACGGUCAGGAUGAAGGCCACCAUUCUGCCAAGGUCUAUGCAAAUUCAGCUCAAUGUUUAGCAGCUGGUGGCAAAGCCAAAAGAAAAGAGGCUAUGAAACUACAAAACCUAACAAAUGCCUGAAGACACUCCUGGUCCAGGACAUGGCCGCCUCCUGCUUGAUGAGUGUAUGCAGAACAUUAUAACAGAGGGGUUUGUCUAGGAUUAGAAAAACACGUCUGCUUUCUCCUAGAAACAGCACCACCCCUGUCCACAGGUUGUACGUGGUAUUGCGCCUUAUCCCCAUUCAUUUCAACAGAAUACCAGACGCAACCCAUGGAUAGGUGUGGAGCUCUGUUUCGGGAAGAAAGUAGCCAUGUUUUUCUAAUCCUGGACAAACCCUUUAAAUACAUGAAUCUGAACCAAUCUGCAACUCUGAAGGCCAGCAAAUGACAAUGUCUAGAGCAGUGGUAUUCCACCGGAUGUGACUACGACUCCUAGCAUGCCCUGACAGCCGGCUGGUUUGGUAGUUUUGCCACAGCUGGCGACCGCUAGUCUAGGGGAAGGCUUAUAAGAGGGCGCUCCGCACCGCACGGGAUAAUCUCUGCCUCUCGCUCCUUUCCCACGGGUAUAGGACACGUCGCUCUAUUAUGUGAAAUCUUCUCUCUGGAGGCGAGUGAUACGAGAUCAGCGGCGGCGAUGCAGACAGGAUCCUUUGGCCGACCACUUGUACGGCUUACGUAACAUCAGCUGAGCCCGGGACAGGAGCAAUGUCAACUGUCGGAAAGUGAAAAGUGCCAUUGUUAUCUACAGAGCUGAACGGGCGAAGGAAGGAGGAGGGGGGAAGGCUAGCCGCUUAUCUGGCACAGAGCAGCAGUCACAAGUUACUCGUGACCAAGGAGAUAUGGAGACAGGGAAAACAAAAGUGACCUGCACCGUGGGUUUAUACCAGGGAUCAGCAACCUUCGGCACUCCAGCUGUUGUAAAACUACAAAUCCCAGCAUGCUCCUUUCAAUUUUGUGGGAGUUCAGAGAACAGCCAAGCAAGUGAACAUGAUGGGAGAAGUAGUUCCACAACACAUGGAGCGCUGGAGGUUGCCGACCCCUGGUUUAUACAGGGCAGGGCUAAUCUGGUAUUUUUUUCUUAAAGGGGUGGCCCAUCUCACACAUAGGUGCUAUAUCGCUAGAGAUCGCCAUUCCAGAGGUGGGACCUGCACCCAAGUCUAGAACAGGGACCCCCCCCAAAGAGAACAUGGGUGCUGAAAAUAGCCGAGCGCUGGCUCAGGUACUUCUAGAACUUUCAGAGAUGAAUUGCAAGGUGGCUCUGGAUCUGCAGUACCAGGCACGCUCACGUGUCAUUUAAGGGGGUUCCAAAAUUAGAAAAACAUGGCUGCUUUAAUUUUUCCCCAGAAAGAGCACCACACCUGUCCAAAGGUUGCCUGUGGUAUUGCACCUCAGCCCCAUUCACUUCCAUAGAGCUGAGCCGCAGGCCCAGACACAACUUGUCUACAGGUGCGACGCCAUUUCUGGAAAAUAACAGCCAUGUUUUCUUAAUUCCAAAUGUCACAAUUUUAGGAUUUCUUCUUAAAAGGGGUUUCCCGGGAUUUUUUUAUUUUUAUGCUUUACACCAGGGAUGCUCAACCUGCGGCCCCCCAGCUGUUGCAAAACUAC